UACAGAGGGGGCAAGCGUUGUUCGGAAUUACUGGGCGUAAAGGGCGCGUAGGCGGCCUUCUAAGUCGAACGUGAAAUCCCCGGGCUUAACCUGGGAAUGGCCAUGGAAACUGGCGAACUGGAGUGCGGCAGAGGGGGGUGGAAUUCCGCGUGUAGCAGUGAAAUGCGUAGAUAUGCGGAGGAACACCGAUGGCGAAGGCAAUCCCCUGGGCCUGUACUGACGCUCAUGCACGAAAGCGUGGGGAGCAAACAGG
rnacentral:rRNA from 1 species